AUGUUUCAUUCAAAUUUCUGCCCUAUCAACUUUCGACGGUAGGGUAGUGGCCUACCGUGGUGGUAACGGGUGACGGAGGAUUAGGGUUCGAUUCCGGAGAGGGAGCCUGAGAAACGGCUACCACAUCCAAGGAAGGCAGCAGGCGCGCAAAUUACCCAAAUCCCAACUCGGGGAGGUAGUGACAAGAAAUAACGAUGCUCCGGCCUCACGGUCGGGUAAUCGGAAUGAGAACAAUUUAAAUCCCUUAUCGAGGAUCAAUUGGAGGGCAAGUCUGGUGCCAGCAGCCGCGGUAAUUCCAGCUCCAAUAGCGUAUAUUUAAGUUGCUGCGGUUAAAAAGCUCGUAGUCGGAUUUCGGGUGGCGCCUACCGGUCCGCCUUUGGUGAGUACUGGUAGGUGCCACCUUUCUGCCGAGGACGGGGUACUGGGCUUAACUGUCUGGGCCCCGGAGUCGGCGAUGUCACUUUGAGUAAAUUAGGGUGUUCAAAGCAGGCUUAUGCUCUGUAUACACUAGCAUGGGAUGACACGAUAGGACUUCGGUUUAUCUUGUCGGUCUGUAGAUCGGAGUAAUGAUUAAGAGGGACAGUCGGGGGCAUUCGUAUUUCGUAGUCAGAGGUGAAAUUCUUGGAUUUACGGAAGACGAACUUCUGCGAAAGCAUUUGCCAAGGAUGUUUUCAUUGAUCAAGAACGAAAGUCGGGGGCUCGAAGACGAUUAGAUACCGUCGUAGUCUCGACCAUAAACGAUGCC
rnacentral:rRNA from 1 species